GCUAUUUUGGCAGAUAAUUGUGAUGGUUUUAGAAAUCAUUUAUAUAUAUAAAUUUAUAUCAUAUAUAA
rnacentral:tRNA from 1 species